rnacentral:tRNA from 1 species
GCCUUAGUAGCGUAGCGGUCAGCAAGCUCGACGCCUAUUCGAGAGGUCCGAGGUUCGAGUCCCGGCGAGGGCA